ensembl:snoRNA
AGCCGAUGAUGACAAAUCAAUUAACUUUUCUGACACCUACUAUGACAGCUGCCCUACAGCUUGUGAUUCUACUUUUUAUCCUGAGGCUU